rnacentral:rRNA from 1 species
UACGUAGGGUGCAAGCGUUAAUCGGAAUUACUGGGCGUAAAGCGUGCGCAGGCGGUUCUGUAAGACAGAUGUGAAAUGCCCGGGCUUAACCUGGGAACUGCAUUUGUGACUGCAAAGCUAGAGUGUGUCAGAGGGGGGUAGAAUUCCACGUGUAGCAGUGAAAUGCGUAGAUAUGUGGAGGAAUACCGAUGGCGAAGGCAGCCCCCUGGGAUAACACUGACGCUCAUGCACGAA